GACGAACGCUGGCGGCGUGCCUAAUACAUGCAAGUUGAGCGAUGAAGCUUGGUGCUUGCACCAAUUUGAAGAGCAGCGAACGGGUGAGUAACGCGUGGGGAAUCUGCCUUUGAGCGGGGGACAACAUUUGGAAACGAAUGCUAAUACCGCAUAACAACUUUAAACAUAAGUUUUAAGUUUGAAAGAUGCAAUUGCAUCACUCAAAGAUGAUCCCGCGUUGUAUUAGCUAGUUGGUGAGGUAAAGGCUCACCAAGGCGAUGAUACAUAGCCGACCUGAGAGGGUGGUCGGCCACAUUGGGACUGAGACAAGGCCCAAACUCCUACGGGAGGCAGCAGUAGGGAAUCUUCGGCAAUGGACGAAAGUCUGACCGAGCAACGCCGCGGGAGUGAAGAAGGUUUUCGGAUCGUAAAACUCUGUUGGUAGAGAAGAACGUUGGUGAGAGUGGAAAGCUCAUCAAGUGACGGUAACUACCCAGAAAGGGACGGCUAACUACGUG
rnacentral:rRNA from 1 species